rnacentral:misc_RNA from 1 species
UCUCCGUUGGUGAACCAGCGGAGGGAUCAUUACAGAGUUUUCACAACUCCCAACCCUUGCGAACCGUACCCCUUCUGUUCUCGUUGCUUCCGGCGGGGGGGACGGGGGGGGCCGAAACGGCCUCCCCGCCCCGCCCGCCGGGGGCGGCGAGCCCUUCGAACCUAUAUAUUUCAACCACCAGCAACCGUCUGAGAAAACAAACAAAAUAACCAAAACUACCAACAACGGAUCUCUUGGCACUGCCAUCCUUGAAGAACGCAGCAAAUCGGAAGCACACAA